AACUUUCAACAACGGAUCACUUGGUUGGCAUCGAUGAAGAACGCAGCGAAAUGCGAUAAGUAAUGUGAAUUGCAGAAUUCAGUGAAUCAUCGAAUCUUUGAACGCACAUUGCGCCCGCUAGUACUCUAGCGGGCAUGCCUGUUCGAGCGUCAUUUCAACCCUCAAGCCCGGCUUGGUGUUGGGGCCCUACGGCUGCCGUAGGCCCUGAAAGGAAGUGGCGGGCUCGCUAAAACUCCGAGCGUAGUAAUUCGUUUUCUCGCUAUGGUCGUUGCGGCGGUGCUCUUGCCGUUAAAGACCCAUCUUUAACCAAAGGUUGACCUCGGAUCAGGUAGGAAUACCCGCUGAACUUAAGCAUAUCAAUAAGCGUAGGCU
rnacentral:misc_RNA from 1 species